UCAAGGACUUUUCAGUGUCUCAUGCUCUGCCAGUGAGGAUCUGAACAAAAAGCUGGGAGAGAGCCUGGUCAGAACAGCUGACUGAACCAGCCAAAGGGAUGUUACAUACCAUAAAAUGCCAUGGGUGAGCUGGCGAGGAGGGACUGAACACUGUUCGAGGACAGGCUGCAUGUCGUUUGUCUUACAGCACAUCUCUUGAACCAAACCAGAAUUCCACAGGGAGACAGAAGACUGUGUCCAGGGCUAUGAAAGAGCCACAAGUCUUGCCAAGGGAAGGCUUUCAGUGCAACAUGUGACACACCGCAGAACCACCAGCAGAACAAAGAGGAUUUGGAGCAAUGGCAACAACCAGCAGUUCUGCAGCAGCACAAAUGCAAAGAAACACCAAAGUAACAAGCUCCCUGCAGAAGCUUUUUUUUUGGCAAGCCCAAAGAUCAUUCAUGCCAUAUUUAAAGGCUAUAGAAUUGCUUAAAGCAUUUCUUGGGAUCCUCUGGGAUGAUGUCUCGUCUGUUUGCUCUAUAUCAAAGGGCAGAAAAGUGACUGGAUUGGAAUGGGGAUAGGGCAGGGAACAAACAGUUGGGUUUUCUAAUAGCGAGGAGCAAUGUUAUUCUGUAUCUUUUAUCAUACUUGUAUUGCACAGUGGAAAGACAUAAUUUUAAGCAAAGUGUACCUCCAAAGCAAACAAAAGCGCUGAAGGAAGUGAGUUUACCCACUUUGAAGUCAAGAUGUGGGACUGACAGAUGAGGGGGUUUUAAUACCACUACUGGAUCACAUUGCUUCCUCCAUCACAUUUACAAUUACUCAGUGAAAAUUUGCCAGCAUAACCAACAGUCAUCUCUCACUAUGAUAUCAUUUCAAAUAAAAUAAAUCCAAGUGCAGAUACACACCGCAAAUUAUUCCAAAGAGUAAAUAAAACAAUACUAUAAUAUAUAAAUGUUCCUCUACUAUUCAAAUAAAGUGCUUUAUGAGUAAUAUAUUUUUUCUCUAAAACAAGGGUAUUUUUUAUGAGAAUAUUUUAGUAAACAAGACCAUAUUCAGGAAAUGGUCUUGUUGUCCCUCUUGGACUUAAUCUGAAUUGAAAUGCAGUAACAAAUAACAUGCAUUUUUAAGAAGACUCUUUCAAACCAUACAGCUGUCCUUAUGCCUCACAGUUAAUUAAUAAUUUCCAUGAAAAAUACUAAGGGCCAGAAAGUGGAGUAGGGAACAGAGAAAAAUGAGAUUGAGCUUUACUUUCAUUGUAAUAUCUAUUGAGCUAAAGGAAAAUACAAAUUUGUUGAGACUAAGAAUUUUUCCUUUUCUGAAGUACAAUUUCCAUUUCAAUUUUAAAAAAAAAUCAAGUACUGGCCAGAAAAUGGGUGAUGUUUUUCCAACAUUAUAUUUUCAUUAUGUUAAUUCAGAUAGAAAGCGAACACUGUUUUUCAAGUCAGACACUUAAGACACUUAUUUUUUAAUGUAAAUUUUAAGAAAUUGCGUGCUGUCAGCUUCAGCUACUGAUUUCUCCUCCUUUCUCUAAGCUGAUGUAUGCAAAAAGUGUAUAUCUACUUGGUGACAUUCCCAAUAUAUAAACGCAUAUUUUCAACAAAAGCAUGCCCUUUCCCAACAUUUUUUUUUUGGUUUGCAUUUAACAAAAUAACUGCAAAUGUCAGGUAUUAGAAGGGUUGAAACAACCUUUUCUAUUUUGUUGUCUUUAGAACCCCAUCUUUUAUUCAUGACUUCUCUCUUAGUGCUGGGAAGGAGGCUGUGUUGCUAUAGCAAUGCCCUGCAUAUCCUUGUGGAUAGCUUACAGUUUCACUUUUUUUAAGCAACAAAGAGCCAUUGAUACUACAUGUUGCCAAAGGUUACAAAAGUUGAAUUCUAAAAUGGAAAUAUUUCUUCUAUAAGGCUGCAUAGGAUAUAUGCCAUGCAAAUUCAAAGCUUCAAGUAAACAUACAGCCCCUUUUGUGAAUACAGAUGAACCUAGUAUAAUGUUGUUUGUCUUCAAUGUAUUAUAUGGAAGAAAAGUAUUUAAAAAUAUUUGCUAUCUACACUUUUCAAGAUAUAAAUGUUCAAAUAUGUAUGACCUCCUAUUACAUCUUUUUGACCUGCGGUAUAAAUAAAAUCUUUCUACAUUUUAACAGUUCUGGAUAAUAAAACACAAUCUCAUAUUCCAA